GACGAACGCUGGCGGCGUGCUUAACACAUGCAAGUCGUACGGAAAGGCCCUGCUUUUGUGGGGUGCUCGAGUGGCGAACGGGUGAGUAACACGUGAGUAACCUGCCCUUGACUUUGGGAUAACUUCGGGAAACUGGGGCUAAUACCGGAUAGGAGCUCCUGCUGCAUGGUGGGGGUUGGAAAGUUUCGGCGGUUGGGGAUGGACUCGCGGCUUAUCAGCUUGUUGGUGGGGUAGUGGCUUACCAAGGCUUUGACGGGUAGCCGGCCUGAGAGGGUGACCGGCCACAUUGGGACUGAGAUACGGCCCAGACUCCUACGGGAGGCAGCAGUGGGGAAUAUUGCACAAUGGGCGGAAGCCUGAUGCAGCAACGCCGCGUGCGGGAUGACGGCCUUCGGGUUGUAAACCGCUUUCGCCUGUGACGAAGCGUGAGUGACGGUAAUGGGUAAAGAAGCACCGGCUAACUACGUG
rnacentral:rRNA from 1 species